UACGUAGGGGGCAAGCGUUGUCCGGAUUUAUUGGGCGUAAAGAGCGUGUAGGCGGCCACACAGGUCUGCUGUGAAAACUCGAGGCUCAACCUCGAGCUGUCGGUGGAAACCGUGUGGCUAGAGUCCGGAAGAGGGUCGCGGAAUUCCCGGUGUAGAGGUGAAAUUCGUAGAUAUCGGGAGGAACACCAGUGGCGAAGGCGGCGACCUGGGCCAAUAUUGACGCUGAGGUGCGAAAGCGUGGGGAGCAAACAGG
rnacentral:rRNA from 1 species